GUGCUUAACACAUGCAAGUCGAACGGAAAGGCCCUGCUUUUGUGGGGUGCUCGAGUGGCGAACGGGUGAGUAACACGUGAGUAACCUGCCCUUGACUUUGGGAUAACUUCAGGAAACUGGGGCUAAUACCGGAUAGGAGCUCCUGCUGCAUGGUGGGGGUUGGAAAGUUUCGGCGGUUGGGGAUGGACUCGCGGCUUAUCAGCUUGUUGGUGGGGUAGUGGCUUACCAAGGCUUUGACGGGUAGCCGGCCUGAGAGGGUGACCGGCCACAUUGGGACUGAGAUACGGCCCAGACUCCUACGGGAGGCAGCAGUGGGGAAUAUUGCACAAUGGGCGGAAGCCUGAUGCAGCAACGCCGCGUGCGGGAUGACGGCCUUCGGGUUGUAAACCGCUUUCGCCUGUGACGAAGCGUGAGUGACGGUAAUGGGUAAAGAAGCACCGGCUAACUACGUGCCAGCAGCCGCGGUGAUACGUAGGGUGCGAGCGUUGUCCGGAUUUAUUGGGCGUAAAGGGCUCGUAGGUGGUUGAUCGCGUCGGAAGUGUAAUCUUGGGGCUUAACCCUGAGCGUGCUUUCGAUACGGGUUGACUUGAGGAAGGUAGGGGAGAAUGGAAUUCCUGGUGGAGCGGUGGAAUGCGCAGAUAUCAGGAGGAACACCAGUGGCGAAGGCGGUUCUCUGGGCCUUUCCUGACGCUGAGGAGCGAAAGCGUGGGGAGCGAACAGGCUUAGAUACCCUGGUAGUCCACGCUGUAAACGGUGGGUACUAGGUGUGGGGUCCAUUCCACGGGUUCCGUGCCGUAGCUAACGCUUUAAGUACCCCGCCUGGGGAGUACGGCCGCAAGGCUAAAACUCAAAGGAAUUGACGGGGCCCCGCACAAGCGGCGGAGCAUGCGGAUUAAUUCGAUGCAACGCGUAGAACCUUACCUGGGUUUGACAUGGAUCGGGAGUGCUCAGAGAUGGGUGUGCCUCUUUUGGGGUCGGUUCACAGGUGGUGCAUGGCUGUCGUCAGCUCGUGUCGUGAGAUGUUGGGUUAAGUCCCGCAACGAGCGCAACCCUUGUUCACUGUUGCCAGCACGUUAUGGUGGGGACUCAGUGGAGACCGCCGGGGUCAACUCGGAGGAAGGUGGGGAUGACGUCAAGUCAUCAUGCCCCUUAUGUCCAGGGCUUCACGCAUGCUACAAUGGCUGGUACAGAGAGUGGCGAGCCUGUGAGGGUGAGCGAAUCUCGGAAAGCCGGUCUCAGUUCGGAUUGGGGUCUGCAACUCGACCUCAUGAAGUCGGAGUCGCUAGUAAUCGCAGAUCAGCAACGCUGCGGUGAAUACGUUCCCGGGGCUUGUACACACCGCCCGUCAAGUCAUGAAAGUUGGUAACACCCGAAGCCGGUGGCCUAACCGUUGUGGGGGAGCCGUCGAAGGUGGGACUGGUGAUUAGGACUA
rnacentral:rRNA from 1 species